GGGCCCGUAGCUCAGUAUGGAUAGAGCGCCAGCCUUCUAAGCUGGAAGCCGCGAGUUCAAAUCUUGCCGGGCCCGCCA
rnacentral:tRNA from 1 species